UGGAAGUAAAAGUCGUAACAAGGUCUCCGUAGGUGAACCUGCGGAGGGAUCAUUACACAAUAUGAAAGCGGGCUGGCAUCCUUCGGGGUUACAGCCUUGCUGAAUUAUUCACCCGUGUCUUUUGCGUACUUCUUGUUUCCUUGGUGGGUUCGCCCACCAUAGGACAAACCAUAAACCUUUUGUAAUUGCAAUCAGCGUCAGUAAAAAAAUUAAUAAUUACAACUUUUAACAACGGAUCUCUUGGUUCUGGCAUCGAUGAAGAACGCAGCGAAAUGCGAUAAGUAGUGUGAAUUGCAGAAUUCAGUGAAUCAUCGAAUCUUUGAACGCACAUUGCGCCCUUUGGUAUUCCAAAGGGCAUGCCUGUUCGAGCGUCAUUUGUACCCUCAAGCUUUGCUUGGUGUUGGGCGUCUUGUCUCCAGUUCGCUGGAGACUCGCCUUAAAGUAAUUGGCAGCCGGCCUACUGGUUUCGGAGCGCAGCACAAGUCGCGCUCUCUUCCAGCCAAGGUCAGCAUCCACAAAGCCUUUUUUCAACUUUUGACCUCGGAUCAGGUAGGGAUACCCGCUGAACUUAAGCAUAUCAAUAAGCGGAGGAA
rnacentral:misc_RNA from 1 species